UUCCUUAAAUAGCAAGACUGCCUUCAUGUCCCUGCCUUGUGAAGGGACAUCCUGUGCUUUAUUUUAGAAUUUUUUAGUUUUGGGCUUGAAAAAUGUUCAAAAAUUUUUAAAAUGUUUUAAAAACUGAUAGUUUGUAUAAAAUUAAGUUUCUUUUAAUUCCUUGCAGCAGUGAAAGCCUGUUGUCUUGAUGCUGAUUCCUGGCAUAGCAGUUGGCAUCUGAAGGACGAGGGGAGGUGGGAGAGAGCCAUUGCUGUGACCGUGUCACACACCGUUGUCUUUCCUCUCCCUCUGUUUCAGGAACCCCUGUUUGGUUUUACAUGCAAAUUGCACCGAUAAGAAAUGAACACGAGAAGGUGGUCUUGUUCCUGUGCACAUUCAAAGAUAUCACGUUGUUUAAACAGCCCAUAGAGGAUGAUUCCACGAAAGGUUGGACAAAAUUUGCCCGAUUGACACGAGCUUUGACAAACAGCCGGAGUGUUUUGCAGCAGCUUACGCCAAUGAAUAAAACAGAGGUGGCCCACAAGCACUCGAGAUUAGCUGAGGUAAGUGUGAGGCUAGCUUUGCUUCCCAAGAUGGUGGUGUUGGCACAUUUUUUUGGUCCCAAGUGAUAACAAUAUAAAUAUUUCUGGCCA
rnacentral:lncRNA from 1 species